rnacentral:rRNA from 1 species
GAGUUUGAUCCUGGCUCAGGAUGAACGCCGGCGGUGUGCCUAAUACAUGCAAGUCGUACGCACUGGCCCAACUGAUUGAUGGUGCUUGCACCUGAUUGACGAUGGAUUACCAGUGAGUGGCGGACGGGUGAGUAACACGUAGGUAACCUGCCCCGGAGCGGGGGAUAACAUUUGGAAACAGAUGCUAAUACCGCAUAACAACAAAAGCCACAUGGCUUUUGUUUGAAAGAUGGCUUUGGCUAUCACUCUGGGAUGGACCUGCGGUGCAUUAGCUAGUUGGUAAGGUAACGGCUUACCAAGGCGAUGAUGCAUAGCCGAGUUGAGAGACUGAUCGGCCACAAUGGAACUGAGACACGGUCCAUACUCCUACGGGAGGCAGCAGUAGGGAAUCUUCCACAAUGGGCGCAAGCCUGAUGGAGCAACACCGCGUGAGUGAAGAAGGGUUUCGGCUCGUAAAGCUCUGUUGUUGGAGAAGAACGUGCGUGAGAGUAACUGUUCACGCAGUGACGGUAUCCAACCAGAAAGUCACGGCUAACUACGUGCCAGCAGCCGCGGUAAUACGUAGGUGGCAAGCGUUAUCCGGAUUUAUUGGGCGUAAAGCGAGCGCAGGCGGUUGCUUAGGUCUGAUGUGAAAGCCUUCGGCUUAACCGAAGAAGUGCAUCGGAAACCGGGCGACUUGAGUGCAGAAGAGGACAGUGGAACUCCAUGUGUAGCGGUGGAAUGCGUAGAUAUAUGGAAGAACACCAGUGGCGAAGGCGGCUGUCUGGUCUGCAACUGACGCUGAGGCUCGAAAGCAUGGGUAGCGAACAGGAUUAGAUACCCUGGUAGUCCAUGCCGUAAACGAUGAGUGCUAGGUGUUGGAGGGUUUCCGCCCUUCAGUGCCGGAGCUAACGCAUUAAGCACUCCGCCUGGGGAGUACGACCGCAAGGUUGAAACUCAAAGGAAUUGACGGGGGCCCGCACAAGCGGUGGAGCAUGUGGUUUAAUUCGAAGCUACGCGAAAGAACCUUACCAGGUCUUGACAUCUUGCGCUAACCUUAGAGAUAAGGCGUUCCCUUCGGGGACGCAAUGACAGGUGGUGCAUGGUCGUCGUCAGCUCGUGUCGUGAGAUGUUGGGUUAAGUCCCGCAACGAGCGCAACCCUUGUUACUAGUUGCCAGCAUUAAGUUGGGCACUCUAGUGAGACUGCCGGUGACAAACCGGAGGAAGGUGGGGACGACGUCAGAUCAUCAUGCCCCUUAUGACCUGGGCUACACACGUGCUACAAUGGACGGUACAACGAGUCGCAAGCUCGCGAGAGUAAGCUAAUCUCUUAAAGCCGUUCUCAGUUCGGACUGUAGGCUGCAACUCGCCUACACGAAGUCGGAAUCGCUAGUAAUCGCGGAUCAGCAUGCCGCGGUGAAUACGUUCCCGGGCCUUGUACACACCGCCCGUCACACCAUGGGAGUUUGUAACGCCCAAAGUCGGUGGCCUAACCUUUAUGGAGGGAGCCGCCUAAGGCGGGACAGAUGACUGGGGUGAAGUCGUAACAAGGUA